rnacentral:rRNA from 1 species
GAUGAACGCUAGCUACAGGCUUAACACAUGCAAGUCGAGGGGAAACGAUAUUGGAAGCUUGCUUCCGAUAGGCGUCGACCGGCGCACGGGUGAGUAACGCGUAUUCAACCAGCCCACCACUUGGGGAUAACCUUGCGAAAGUAAGACUAAUACCCAAUGAUAUCUCUAGAAGACAUCCGAAGGAGCAUAAAGAUUUAUCGGUGAUGGAUGGGGAUGCGUCUGAUUAGUUUGUUGGCGGGGUAACGGCCAACCAAGGCGACGAUCAGUAGGGGGUCUGAGAGCAAGGUCCCCCACAUUGGAACUGAGACGCGGUCCAAACUCCUACGGGAGGCAGCAGUGAGGAAUAUUGGUCAAUGGACGGGAGUCUGAACCAGCCAAGUAGCGUGCAGGAUGACGGCCCUAUGGGUUGUAAACUGCUUUUAUAAGGGAAUAAAGUGAGCCUCGUGAGGCUUUUUGCAUGUACCUUAUGAAUAAGGACCGGCUAAUUCCGUGCCAGCCGCCGCUGUAA